rnacentral:lncRNA from 1 species
GACCAAUGCCCGACUAUCACUACGACCCCUAUACGAUCAAGUCGAUCUAGUCUGGCCGAGAUCAGGCUGAGAUCGAGUAUAGUUGAUUUGGUCUAGCUAGUCGAGUAAAGAUCUUGUAGAGAUCGUGAAUUGGUCGGAAUUAACGAAUAUGCAUUCAAUUAGUGGUCGGGUUUGAGUCGUGAUGGAGUCGUUAAGGAGUCGUGAAUGGUCG